rnacentral:rRNA from 1 species
GCCAGCAGCAUACCACCCUGCAUCCCAUUGCUGGCUUGCUUCUGAAGCUAAGCAGGGUUGGUCCUGGAUGGGAGACCAGAUGCUGCUGGAA